rnacentral:rRNA from 1 species
CACGUAGGGGGCAAGCGUUGUCCGGAUUUAUUGGGCGUAAAGAGCUCGUAGGUGGUUCGGUAAGUCAGGUGUGAAACCUCCAGGCUCAACCUGGAGACGCCACUUGAUACUGCUGUGACUGGAGUCCGGUAGGGGAGCGUGGAAUUCCUGGUGUAGCGGUGAAAUGCGCAGAUAUCAGGAGGAACACCAGCGGCGAAGGCGGCGCUCUGGGCCGGUACUGACACUGAGGAGCGAAAGCGUGGGUAGCAAACGGG